rnacentral:rRNA from 1 species
GAUGAACGCUGGCGGCGUGCUUAACACAUGCAAGUCGAACGAUGAAGCCCAGCUUGCUGGGUGGAUUAGUGGCGAUCGGGUGAGUAACACGUGAGUAACCUGCCCUUAACUCUGGGAUAAGCCUGGGAAACUGGGUCUAAUACCGGAUAGGAGCGUCCACCGCAUGGUGGGUGUUGGAAAGAUUUAUCGGUUUUGGAUGGACUCGCGGCCUAUCAGCUUGUUGGUGAGGUAAUGGCUCACCAAGGCGACGACGGGUAGCCGGCCUGAGAGGGUGACCGGCCACACUGGGACUGAGACACGGCCCAGACUCCUCCGGGAGGCAGCAGUGGGGAAUAUUGCACAAUGGGCGCAAGCCUGAUGCAGCGACGCCGCGUGAGGGAUGACGGCCUUCGGGUUGUAAACCUCUUUCAGUAGGGAAGAAGCGAAAGUGACGGUACCUGCAGAAGAAGCACCGGCUAACUACGUG